rnacentral:other from 1 species
UAUUACCUGCCAUGUACGCGAGCUUCUUUUCUGUUUUGAACCUUGAUCAAGAAAAGGGAGCCUCACAUAGGCAAUAGGACAGUAUGCCGCAUAAGCGGACACUGGAGCAUUGAUCUGCGGGCACCCACCUACUCGAAGUAGGUUCUUGAACGAUGGGAGCAGCGGCAUACGCGGGGAUAGU